CUUAUGUUUUUCUUAGUGUUCGUUCUUAGUCAUCCUUAAUAAUAAGAUCCAUACUAACAUGUAUAAUAAGCUCCAUACUAAUAUCCAACUUAACUAAUAGCUAAGUUUUAAAAGUUUUGUCAUUGAAAGCAUGUACAAUCUUAGCAUUUCCAUUACAGUAGAUAGUAUUUUUAAACAUUUUGUAAAAACCAUUGUUAAAAAUGGUCAGGGAAAUUCAUCUGAUUUUUCAAAAUGUCAUUGAUUUUUAUAUAAAUUGUUGGCUACGAACCCUGUCGGAGAAACAUUGUUUAAUAUGAAUUUUUUUGUUGUACAGUGCAAUCUGUAUUUUAUAAAAUACACAAAACAAUUCUCGUUAAUGUGUAAGCUUAAACAUUAACGAGAAUUGUUUUGUGUCAGUGCCAGAAAUCGAAUGCACACCUGCAAAUUUCAUAAUUCAUAAAAAUAUUAUGAAUCCAUUAGCAAAUAAAGUUGUAUCGUUGAAAGAUAUGCUGGUAUUAUUGGCACAAUGAGCAAGCAUUGAAGUUCAACUUGGUGAACUACAAAACACAUCAAAUUCAGUUAUAAAAAUUUGAGUAACAAAGGUAUGCUAAUUAUUGUAUUGCCUGAAAGAGUGUCAUUGCCAUUAAAAGCAGCAAAGAAUUCAAGUACUCUGGAAGAAAAAAGACAAGAAAAUACUUUAGUCAAUUAUUUGGCACAAAUUGGACUUAAAGAUAAAGGAGAUUGUAUAUGUUAUUUACUAAGAAUUGUUUUUUAAAAUGGCAUAGCUGUAAAAUUAAACUAUACAGGAAGAGGACAAAAAAUUGGAAUAGGAAAAAUGUUGAUUUCAUAUGUUGCUAUUGAAACUGUGAAGUCAAAUAAGCAUGGCUUAUGCAGACAUGUGAUUGAGAUAGUGGAAGAAAAAAUAAUAAUAGAGGGUACCAAAUAUCAUAAGCUAAACACGAUUCAAUAACAAGUAGCUCAGCCAAUAUCGAAACUACUCUAUAAAUUUUAUAGUGAAUUUUUUUAUUUGAAACU
rnacentral:lncRNA from 1 species